rnacentral:rRNA from 1 species
AUUGAACGCUGGCGGCAGGCCUAACACAUGCAAGUCGAACGAGUGGCGGACGGGUGAGUAAUGCCUGGGAAACUGCCUUAUGUAGGGGGAUAACUACUGGAAACGGUCGCUACUACCGCCUACCAUCGGAUGUGCCCAGAUGGGAUUAGCUAGUAGGUGGGGUAAAGGCUCACCUAGGCGACGAUCCCUAGCUGGUCUGAGAGGAUGACCACCCAAACUGGAACUGAGACACGGGCCAGACGCCUACGGGAGGCAGCAGUGGGGAAUAUUGCGCAAUGGGCGAAAGCCUGACGCAGCCAUGCCGCGUGUAUGAAGAAGGCCUUCGGGUUGUAAAGUGCUUUCAGCGGGGAGGCGUUACCCGAAGAAGAAGCACCGGCUAACGCCGUGCCAGCAGCCGCGGUAAUAA